rnacentral:ribozyme from 14 species
GAAAAAAAAAAACAAAAAAAAAAACACAAAACCACAACUACGAAACAAACGUUUUCGGUCUCAACCUCUUUUUUCUUUUUU